rnacentral:rRNA from 1 species
GACGUAGGGUGCAAGCGUUGUCCGGAUUUACUGGGCGUAAAGAGCGCGUAGGCGGCUCGUUAAGUGAGAAGUGAAAGCUGUGGGCUCAACCCACAAACCGCUUUUUCAUACUGGCGAGCUGGAGUGAUGCAGAGGUGGAUAGAAUUCCCGGUGUAGCGGUGAAAUGCGUUGAUAUCGGGAGGAAUACCCGUGGCGAAGGCGGUCCACUGGGCAUCAACUGACGCUGAGGCGCGAAAGCGUGGGUAGCAAACAGG